AAUAGACCUCCAUCUAUCCCAUUCUAUUUUCCUAAAUGGGGCCCUUUGCCCUUCUGAUCUGAGAAUAUGUGGCUGAUCCAUUCUGAAUUUUUGCCAAUAGUAGAAUACUGGUGGAGAAGAAUACGCCACGAGGUGGUCGGGGCAUGAUUUCAUCAACAAACAUAAAAAGACUAAAAGAAGUCUUAAAGAAAUGGAACAGAAGGUUUUCGGUUGUAUUUCCACGAAAAGAAACCAGCUCUAACUAAAAUGGCUAUCCUUGAUCAGAUGGAGGAAAUUGACUCCAUCACACUAGUUCAACACACAGAAAAAGCUCAUGAAAGCUGAACUUAUUUCGUUGGCAGCAAAGGAAGAGCAAUCUUGGAGACAAAAAUGUAAAAAACGAUGGUUAGAGGAGGGUGACAAACUAAAAUUUUUUCCCUCGUAUCAUGACUACAAAGAAACGAAAAGUGCCAUCAUGGAAAUUCUAUCCAAACAAGGCAGAAGUUUAUUAAACGAAGAAGUUGUCUCAAAAUUUGUGACCUUUUACACGACCUUAUAUACAAGGGACAAGUCCCUCUGCAAAUUUCACCAUGAUCUUGACUAGAGUCCUAUUAUUCAACAGCAAGCUACCUCCCUCGAGGUUGUUUUCACCAAAGAAGAGGUGGGGAAGGCAAUUAAACAUCUGGGCUCUGACAAAACUCUAGGACCAGAUGAUUUUACCUUAGAAUUUUUUCAAAAAAUGCUGGAACUUUAUGAGAGCUGAUACCAUGAGAGUAUUCCAAGAUUUUUUUUUGAAACGGAGUUAUCAAUGGCAACCUAAACGAAACAUAUAUAUGUCUGAUCUCAAAGAAAUUGGAUACCCACACUGUCACAGACUUUCGUCCCAUAAGUCUCACGAUCAGACUAUAUAAAAUCAUAGCAAGGGUAUUAUCAGAGCUUCUUGAAAAGGUUCUCCUCUUCAUUAUUACCGGGCAAACAACUUUCGUAGAGGGGCAACAAACUCUUGAUGCAUCCCUCAUGGCAAAUAAACUCAAAUGAAUGGGAAAGAAAGAAACAAAAAGAUGUAGUCAUCAAACUUGACAUGGAAAAGGCUUUUGACAAGGUUGAUUGGACUGGACUUUCCUCGAAAACAUUCUUGUGGAAAAAGGCUUUGACUCAAAUGGCAAAGGUGGAUAAAAGGAUGCAUCUCAUCCAAAAACUUCUCCAUUAUCAUAAUGGAAGAUCGAAAGGGAAGAUUUAUGCCACAUGGGGUCUCCAACAAGGAGACCCACUAUCUCCCUUUCUUUUCAUCGUGGUAACGGAUUGUCUCUGCCACCUACGAACAAAAGCAGAAUACGAAGGGCAAAUAAAAGGAAAUCGAUAAUGAAGGCUUAAGCAUCAACCACCUUCAGUUCGCAGACGACACAAUCAUCUUUCCUGACUUGACAGAUGCCUAUUCCAUAAAAAAACAUGAUCGAGACGGUAAAAACCUUCGAAGGAUUCUCUGGACAAAAUAUCAAUCUCCAAAAAACAGAGAUCAUGAGCAUCAAUAUUAGCACAAAGAUUAUUGAAGAAGUUGAUAGCAUAUAUGGUUGUAAAUAGGGAGAAUGGUCGAAUAUGUACCUACCUUUAAAAGGAAACCACAAAUCCUUUUCCUUUUGGAAGAUUAUUAUUGAAAAAAUAGAAAAAAGGCUGUCAACAUGGUCAUCAUGUUAUACUUCAAAAGGCGGAUGACUCACUCUAAUACAAGCCACAUUAUCCAACUUCCUCACUUACUACAUGUCUCUAUUUGAAAUGCCACAAAAAGUGGUUGUGAACCUAGAAAGAUUAUUCAAAAACUACUUAUGGAAAGAUGACCCAUACCUUGUUCAAUGAAAUAUUACAAACCUCCCAACAGAAAUGGGAGGCCUUGAUCUUUUCUCAAUAAAGAUGAAGAACAAAGCCCUCCUCACCAAAUGGAUAUGGAGAUACGUCAAGAAGAAAAAGCCUUGGGUAUUAUAAAGGCCAAAUAUUGUAAUGACCCGUUUUUCCAUGUCUCCAAUUACUGAUCGCCACGUAGACACAAGGGUAAAAAGGGCGAAAAUUCUCUCAAAUUUAAAAGCAGGAGACAAGGAAAAGUUUAAGAUUUAAAUAGCAUUAAAACUGUCAUUAUGUUGAUUAAAAGUACAAAAUAACAUCCUCAGGGUCAGUUCAAACAGUAUACUCAAAAUACACCAAAACAAUUUUUAAAGAUAAUAAAAUGACAAGAAAGAAAGACGACUCGAUCUAAGGGCACCCCAAUAGCUGCACGCUCCCACCUAGAAAAUAAAUAGAAUAACAUGGGAUGAGUAUAAAAUACUCACUGAGCAGCCUACUUGUAGACUCUUGUCGGACUUGGUCUUUAUAAUGAUUCUUUAAGCUAUGUGCUCAUACACGGACUUUAGCUUAGUCCUUACAAUGACUUACCAUCCAUGCUAGAAGGCUUAUCCAUACCUAGACCCUAUGUACUCCUAACACUAGGGUGCAUAACUAAACCCCUCAGGUUAUAAUGUAGGGUUAGGAUGUACUUAGCUUGUUGUUUACAUUUCCCAAAAUCUAUCCUUAACCCGGUGGUACGAGUAUAAAAUACUCACUAAACAGCCUACUUGUAGACUCUUGUCGGACUUGGUCUUUAUAAUGAUUCUUUAAGCUAUGUGCUCAUACACGGACUUUAGCUUAGUCCUUACAAUGACUUACCAUCCAUGCUAGAAGGCUUAUCCAUACCUAGACCCUAUGUACUCCUAACACUAGGGUGCAUAACUAAACCCCUCAGGUUAUAAUGUAGGGUUAGGAUGUACUUAGCUUGUUGUUUACAUUUCCCAAAAUCUAUCCUUAACCCGGUGGUACGAGUAUAAAAUACUCACUAAACAGCCUACUUGUAGACUCUUGUCGGACUUGGUCUUUAUAAUGAUUCUUUAAGCUAUGUGCUCAUACACGGACUUUAGCUUAGUCCUUACAAUGACUUACCAUCCAUGCUAGAAGGCUUAUCCAUACCUAGACCCUAUGUACUCCUAAGACUAGGGUGCAUAACUAAACCCCUCGGGUUAUAAUGUAGGGUUAGGAUGUACUUAGCUUGUUGUUUACGUUUCCCAAAAUCUAUUCUUAACCCUGUGGUACGAGUACGUGAGUCAACUCGCCCUAUGACGGGCUCGCGAGUAAGUCUCAUGUGUAUUAGGUAACUUGUGAAAUAUACGCAGACUAGCAUGAUGAUCGCUUGCACCACAUAAUAACUGGCUACCAGGUGCACCCUGGUAGCAUACCCUCUA